GCCCUGGUAGUGUAGCCUGGAUCAGCGUUUUAAGGCUGAAAUGCUGUAGGAACUAUCAUGAAGCCCUGUCGAGGCUUCGACCCGGGUUCAAAACCAAAAUUUUCAUAAAUGAAAAUUUUGCCAUUAACUUUUAACUUUAUCAACGUUAUUGGCAAAAAUUUGUUUUGCUCAAAGAAAAACAAAUUUUUGGGGUGAAAGUCCCGGCCAGGGCG
rnacentral:tRNA from 1 species